CGGUGGAGCAUGUGGUUUAAUUCGAAGCAACGCGAAGAACCUUACCAGGCCUUGACAUGCAGAGAACUUUACCAGAGAUGGAUUGGUGCCUUCGGGAACUCUGACACAGGUGCUGCAUGGCUGUCGUCAGCUCGUGUCGUGAGAUGUUGGGUUAAGUCCCGUACGAGCGCAACCCUUGUCCUUAGUUACCAGCACGUUAUGGUGGGCACUCUAAGGAGACUGCCGGUGACAAACCGGAGGAAGGUGGGGGAUGACGUCAAGUCAUCAUGGCCCUUACGGCCUGGGCUACACACGUGCUACAAUGGUCGGUACAAAGGGUUGCCAAGCCGCGAGGUGGAGCUAAUCCCAUAAAACCGAUCGUAGUCCGGAUCGCAGUCUGCAACUCGACUGCGUGAAGUCGGAAUCGCUAGUAAUCGUGAAUCAGAAUGUCACGGUGAAUACGUUCCCGGGCCUU
rnacentral:rRNA from 1 species